rnacentral:rRNA from 1 species
UGGGGAAUAUUGGACAAUGGGCGAAAGCCUGAUCCAGCAAUACCGCGUGUGUGAAGAAGGCCUGAGGGUUGUAAAGCACUUUCAAUUGGGAGGAAUACCUGCUGAGAUAAUAUCAGGCAGAUUGACAUUACCUUUAGAAGAAGCACCGGCUAACUCCGUGCCAGCAGCCGCGGUAAUACGGAGGGUGCAAGCGUUAAUCGGAAUUACUGGGCGUAAAGCGUACGUAGGCGGUUAGUUAAGUUAGAUGUGAAAGCCCCGGGCUUAACCUGGGAACUGCAUUUAAAACUGGCUAACUAGAGUUAAGUAGAGGGGAGUGGAAUUUCAGGUGUAGCGGUGAAAUGCGUAGAGAUCUGAAGGAACACCAGUGGCGAAGGCGACUCCCUGGACUUGAACUGACGCUGAGGUACGAAAGCGUGGGUAGCAAACG